rnacentral:lncRNA from 1 species
GGCACAUGCUUGUCCAGGAGCAGGACAAUGUCAAGCGUGUGCAGCUUGCUGACACCUACAUGAGCCAGGCAGCUCUGGGUGAUGCUAACCAGGAUGCGAUGAAGACUGGUUCCUUCUACGGUUAGAACAUUCUCCAUACACACCCACCAUCUCUUGCUGCAUAGGAGGAGGUGAACUACGCACAAUCCUUUUAUACUUUCAGCACCUACUUUACAUACAUACUUACUUCUCACUUGCUUACUUCUCUGAAACAAAAGAGUGAAUCAUAAACAAACAGUGGAGGCCUAUUUCUUCUUACCUGUUCUUAUAGCAUAGCAAGCUCAUCUUCUCAUCAGAUCGUCCAAAACAAUUGAAUUGCAGGUAAAGGGGCACAGCAAGGUACUUUGCCUGUACCGGCAGGAUGCACCGACCAGACUGCCAAGAACUUCGACCCAACGGCGAGGAGUGACGACGGGAGCUGCCUUUACACCUUUUAAGCAUGCCAAUUUAAUAUCUGAUGUUUUAUCCUUUGUACCUAAGUACCGCAUCGCAUCCAAGCGAUUGCUGGGCAUGUUUUGUUAAUAUAAAAAGAUAUUGAGUAUACCUAUUUGGUAAAGACAAAUAGAACUACUUAUCAUUUGUCACUCUCUGUAUUCAUUCCUUCAGUGGAGACUGCUUCUGCUUUAUUGCAAACAGAACAAAAAAGUACUAAUUUGCGCUUCAGCUUAUUAAUUAUUGUUG